UUGUCCAUCGAGGAAAAGGCUUCUUGAGACGUCAUCUGUACUUCUGUGAAGAAGGUGUCGGACGUUUCGCUCCUCAUCCGAAGAGCUUCGUCAGCAAACUAAUUGUAAAUGACAUGUUUACGUUCUUUAUGCUCAGUUAUUCACUCAUUUAUUUUGAAGAAUGUAGUCCUGCCACCGGAUGUUGGCAUGCUCUUAUUUUGGCGGAACGUUUUUUCUUUUCCUGUGUCAAAAGGUUAACUUCGCUAAUGGUGAUUACAACCCCACGCAAAAAGUGCUCACAUAUUUUCUCAGUUUCAACCUGGCUGGUGGUAGGCUAAUGUGGAAGACUACCUCGUGUUUAAGCUAGCGCCCUUGGAAGGCGAAAUGAGUUUUCACGGUGCUUAUGGUGCUUAUGGUGCUUAUGGUGCUCAAGGUGCAAGAACUGAGCCGGAAGAAUAAAGGCACCCGUUUGAAACUCCACGUCUGACUAAUUCAUUCCAAGAGGCCGCUACAGUGAAAACUCAUCGCUGUGGUAAAACGUCAACGCUGCACCAGUCCUGCCAUCACUUCAAGGAGUUGAUGCCAUCACGUCCAACAUCCAGCUACCCACCUGUUACCAGCCAGCUGACUCUGCUCACGUUGAUCUCCUGCGACCAGGCAAGAUUAAAAAGGGACAGUACACAUAACAAUUAAGAAAUAGGCGAAUGUUUCAAGGUACUGGCAUGUGUCUGUCUAGGAAAUGGUUUAAAAGGUGAAGCACUUCAACUGUAAAGUGUUCAUUUAUGAUAUUUUGGGGCACUGUUUAAAAGUCAUUUGGGUGGCCAUAAUUAGUAAUUGCUUGACAUAUGUAUCACUCUGUAGUAAAGGACAACUACAGCUUAUCAGUAUAGACUCAGGCAUAAGACACUUGAAGGCCGUAACGGACAUAAAACAGCUCAAAAACAAACAAAAUGUCAUUACCAUCUGAAAAGGCAGACGCUUCAACAGACAUACAAACCAGGUCCAGUUCGCGUGAGAGAAGGCUAACAGAGAAAGGUCAAACAAUGCAUAGUCAAAACAUCAAAAAGCAUGAGAUGAUGUUUAAUAAGGAUUAUCAUUUUUGGAAAUUAGCAGCAAGGCUGACUAGGACAACAUUAAAAUCAGUCUGUUCAACACAAGAACUUAAUAAAUUGCAACAAGACAUUCAAGCAAAGCAUGAUACUUUAAGACUCCAGUAUGAAUCCAUUCUGUGUAAAGGUAACACCACGCCUGAAAUUGUCAACAAGAUGGAUGCUUGUAUCACACUAACAAAGGAAAUAAGUGACCUCAUCAGUAACCGGCUGAGGACUGUUGAUGAAGAUUACAAUGACCAGCUCGAGAAAGAAAGGGUGAGAGAAGUAUUAAACAAAAAUGAACACUGUUCCAUAUUUGGUCACACCAUAACUGAAACUUCGAGCUCGUCAAAGUCAUCAGAGAGAUCGAGCAGUCACUCCAGCUCAGAGAGCACCAACAACAGCAAAGCAGAUGCACAAGCGGAGCUCGCCGCUAAACUGGAACAAUCUAAGGCUGUGAAAGAAAUUCAAGCACAAAGGGCACAUCUUCAAAAGUUAGAAAAUGAAUGGAAACUUAAAGAGGCAAAAAUGUUGUCAGAGAUCAGACAAAAGGAGGUGCAAAUGAAACAACAGCUUGAGGAAGAGAGAGCAAAACUACAGCAGUUACAAGCAGAAAAGGAAGUCGCUGUAGCAGAAGCUCGUGUGAGAGCUUAUGACGACUUUGAAGGUUUUGAGAACCAGGAGGAAGAAUUGAGCAACAAUGUUAACUAUGCUUGCUUUAGAACGAAAUCUGAAGCCCAACUGAAUCCAAAUGCUGCAUCAUUCCAUCCUUACCAAGGAGCUCCUGAAGUAACAAUGACACAGGAGUCUGUUAGUUUGGCCCAAGCGAUUGCCAGCUCAUUAAGUAUGAGCCGAUUGCCAGUCCCAGAACCUACAACAUUCAGUGGUGACCCUUUAAGGUUUACAGACUGGAAAUUGACUUUCAUGACUCUUAUUGACCGAAAGUCCCUCCCAUCAAGUGAGAAGAUGUUUUAUCUCAAAAAUUAUCUUGCUGGAGAAGCGCAAAAGGCAGUACAAGGUUUCUUCUAUCGAGAUUCAGAGAGUGCAUACAAGGGAGCAUGCAAAGUCUUAGAGGACAGAUAUGGUAACCCGUUCAUCAUACAAAAAGCCUUCCGAGAUAAGCUUAUGAGAUGGCCAAAGAUCAACACAAAUGACCCAUUAGCACUGCGAGAGUUUGCCGACUUUCUCCAAAGCUGCACUGAAGCAAUCCCACAUGUCAAAGGGCUAGCUAUUCUUAACGACUGUGAAGAAAAUCACAAGAUGCUGAAAAAGCUACCAGAAUGGAUUGUACGCAAGUGGAGUCGAAUUGUUGUUGAUGAACUUGACAUGUCCGGAAGUUAUCCUGAUUUUGUGUGUUUCACAGAGUUCCUGAACAAAGAAGCCCGAAUAGCCUGCAACCCAAUUGCCUCUCCAAUUUUGAUGAAUUUCAAACCCACGGAUGAAAAGCUACCAAAGAGAGCCAAAGCUCUCAACACAAACACUCAAGCAAAAAGAGUCCUUCACGAGAAGCAGGAAGCAAACAGUACUAAGCCAAAAUUACCUUGUCCUGUCUGUAAAAACGAAACUCAUGGCAUUGCGCAGUGUCCCACUUUCACAGUAAAGAGUGCUGAAGAAAAAAAGGCGUUUAUCCAAGAAAAUCACCUCUGCUUUGGGUGCUUGAGAAAGGGUCAUGUGACAAAGGUUUGUAAGAGACGACACACGUGCAACAUAUGCAGCCGUCGUCAUCCAACUUGCUUGCAUGAAGACAGGAAGCAGAACCCUGUGGAUGAACUAACGAACAGCUCUACAUCCACAGAAGGAGAUGUAAGCCACGAAAUGCAUAAAGUUGUGUCCCAUACAUCAACACAACGUGCUCCUGCCACAUCAAGUAUAGUCCCAGUUUUUGUAUCUUCAGUACAAGAGCCACACAGAGAAGUAUUGACAUACGCAAUAUUAGACACACAGAGUGACUCAACGUUUGUCUUAGAAGAUGUACUCGACAAACUGAACGUGGAAGUUCGACCAGUAAAGCUGAAACUUAGCACGAUGACGGCUAUGGACACAGUAAUUUCUAGCAAAAGCGUUUGUGGUUUACAAGUUCGAGGUCUCAACUCAGAGGACCACAUUCAGCUACAGCAAGCCUACAGUCGUAACUUUAUCCCAGUAGACAAGUCUUACAUCCCCACAAAGGAAACAGCGAUAUCAUGGCCUCAUCUUAGACAUUUGGCAGAUAAAUUACCACUUCUCCAAGACUGUGAUGUAGGACUCCUGAUUGGAUAUGACUGUCCAUCAGCACUGGUCCCAUUUGAAGUUAUCAUAGGUGGCAAAAAUGAACCGUUUGCGCAGAGAGGGACACUCGGGUGGAGUAUAAUAGGCUCAUCAAACCCCCACCUAGACAGGCAAGGAAGCCACAGCUUUGUGCACCGGCUCACAGUGAAACAACUGCAGAUUCCAUCACCAGCAGACGUUUUAAAGUCGCUGGAAUCAGACUUUAUUGAGAGAACUUAUGAAGAAAAGUAUGUUUCACAGAACGACGUUCAAUUCAUACAGCUUCUUAGCGACCACAUUACACAAAAGGAAGACGGACACUAUGAGAUGCCCCUCCCAUUCAAGGGCAACAGUCCACCCAACCUGCCAAACAAUAAGAGACUAGCCACAAUUCGCCUGCAGUGUCUUAAAAGGAAAUUAAAGGCUAACAAACAAUACUAUGAGCAAUACAAAACAUUCAUGGAAGAAACGAUAAAAAAGGGAGACGCAGAGCCUGCCCCUACAACAUCCGAGGGAGAGACAGUGUGGUACCUUCCACAUCAUGGCGUUUAUCACCCAAGAAAACCAGAGAAGCUCAGAGUUGUCUUUGACUGUGCAGCCAAAUUCCAUGGUCUUUCGCUGAAUGACACUCUGCUAACUGGACCCGAUUUGAUCAAUCCUCUGGUGGGAGUACUUUGCCGUUUUCGGAAAGAGGCCGUCGCCAUUAUCUGUGACAUCGAAAGAAUGUUUUAUCACUUUUCCGUCACUCCUGAAUUUCGGAAUUAUCUCAAAUUCCUAUGGUGGCAAGAUGGUGAUGUGGAUAAGGAAGUACAGGAGUACAGAAUGACCGUUCAUCUUUUCGGAGCUGCUUCGUCUCCGGGAUGCGCCAAUUUUGGCUUAAAACAUUUGGCACAUCAAUACAAAGCCGAUUAUCCAAUAGCAUCAACAUUUGUGGAGAAACAUUUUUAUGUGGACGACGGGCUCGUCAGUGUCCAAUCAGUAGCCGAUGCCAAGAAGCUAAUCACUGAGGCCCAAGAGUUGUGUAAAAGAGGAGGCCUUCACCUUCAUAAAUUCAACUCAAAUAAGGAAGCAGCCCUCACCCACUUGAACCCCUCAGAAAAGGCAGCAAACAUCGAGCAUCUAAGCUUUGACUCUGUUCCAUCAGAGCGGGCACUCGGAAUCCAAUGGUCGGUGAAAGAUGACACAUUUGGCUUUGACAUCAGUUUAAAGGAUCAGCCACCAACCCGUCGCAGUUGCUUGUCUGUCAUUGCCUCUCUUUAUGACCCGUUGGGAUUCAUUGCUCCAUUCAGCCUGAGUGGAAAACUUAUCCUUCAAGAGCUGUGCCAUAGAGGUACUGGAUGGGAUGAUCCACUCCCAGAUGAUAUGAAGCCACGGUGGGAGGAGUGGAUGAAGGGUCUUCAUAAGCUCAAAGAGGUCUCAAUCCCAAGAUGUUACCAUCCCCAUGACUUCCACAAUAUUGUCAGAGUAGAAUUACACCAUUUUUCGGAUGCCAGCUGUGUAGGGUAUGGUGUAUGUUCUUACCUCAGAUACCAAAAUGACAUGAAUGAGGUCCAUUGCAAUCUCGUCUUGGCGAAAGCUAGGGUCGCACCCUCGAAGGUCACGAGUAUCCCAAGACUUGAACUCAUGGCAGCAGUGGUGUCUACAAAGGUUAGCAUCAUGCUAAAAAGUGAACUUGACAUGAAGGUUGAUCAAGAAGUCUUCUGGACAGACUCUCGAGUUGUGCUAGGGUACAUAAACAACGAUGCCCGUAGGUUCCACAUAUUUGUAGCGAACCGUGUUCAGCUUAUUAGAGAUAACAGCAGUCCCAGUCAGUGGCAUUAUGUGGACACCUCAGAAAAUCCAGCUGAUCACGCGUCCCGAGGUCUCCGAGCUUCAGACCUUCACACAACCAACUGGCUGAAAGGACCAAAAUUCCUCUGGGAAAGUGAGUUACAUUUGACACCCACCGCUUCAACAGAAUUACUCGUCGGUGACCCUGAAGUCAAGGCAAUUCAGGUGCUUGCAACCAAAGUCAACCAGAGUAAUGACAUCCUCAGUCGUCUGAGUCGCUUUUCCUCUUGGAUAAGGCUUCUCAAGGUGGUCGCAAGAAUCAAGAGGCUGAAGUCUAGUCACAAACACAGUGACCAUGUGACUGUUGAGGAGCAUGAGAAGGCUGCGGAGGCAGUGAUAAAAAUUGUUCAGCAGCAGGCCUUCCCCCAUGAGUUUAAGGCGCUACAAAGCAAAAAUGUCCUUCCAAGUUCAAGCGCGCUUUUCAAUCUUGACCCUAUCUUGUCUGAAGGACUUAUAUGUGUUGGCGGGAGACUAAAAAACUCUUCUCUUGGUCACAAAGUCAAACACCCCACCAUUCUACCCAACAACAGUCACAUCACUAAGCUGAUUGUGUGUCAUUAUCAUGCCAAGACAAUGCAUCAAGGUCGAGGCCAGACUCAAAUGGAACUUAGGAGUAAUGGAUUCUGGGUUAUUGGUGGGAGUAAGCUGGUUGCGAAGUGCAUACAUACCUGUGUGCUUUGUCGCAAACUUCGUAGGCCGACAGAGAACCAGAAAAUGGCCGAACUUCCUAAAGAACGUGUUGAAGCUUCAGCACCCUUCACCUACAGUGGUAUGGACUGUUUCGGUCCAUUCAUUGUGAAGAAAGCCCGCAAAGAGAACAAAAAAUAUGGCUUGAUUUUCACAUGUUUGUACUCUAGAGCUGUGCACAUUGAAAUGCUCGAUGAUUUGUCGACGGACUCAUUCAUCAACGCAUUGAGAUGCUUUAUUAGCAUUAGAGGUGCUGUUCGACAACUGUACUGUGACCAAGGCUCUAAUUUUGUGGGUGCUAAAAACGAGUUUAAGGAAGCACUCAAACAAUGUGACAGCAAGUUACUUGAAAUAUUCCUCACUGAAAAGCAAUGUGAAUUUGUCUUCAAUGCCCCCUCCGCCAGUCACGCAGGUGGUGUCUGGGAAAGACAAAUAAGAACAGUCAGAAAGGUGUUGAACGCAACCUUUGCUCAAUGCCCAGGUCGGCUGGACGACGCCUCCCUUCGAACAAUGCUGUAUGAGGCCAUGGCUAUUGUUAAUAGCCGCCCAUUAACAGUGGACGGAAUCAAUGACCCUCAGGCACUAGAACCCAUAACACCAAACCACCUCAUAAUGAUGAAGUCCAAAGUUGCUCUUCCUCCUCCCGGUGUGUUUGUGAAGGAAGAUCUAUAUGCAAUCAAGAGGUGGAGGAGAGUACAGUACCUAAUUGAACAAUUCUGGAGUCGCUGGAGAAAAGAGUACCUUCUGAAUAUAUCUACAAGACAAAAGUGGCACCUACCUCAGCGCAACCUCAAAGUGAACGACAUUGUCAUCAUCAAAGAUGACAACCUCCCAAGAUGUCAUUGGCAACUAGGUCUAGUGGUUGAAGUCGUUCAGGGUAGCGAUGGCUUAGUUCGCCGAGCCAAAGUGCGUGUAGGUGAGCGAAACCACCAGAGAAAACAAGGUCCUCCUUUCAAGCAUUCAGUUAUUGAGAGACCAGUCCAAAAAUUAGUGCUUCUUCUUGAGAAUUGAUUAGAAUAAGCUAACAAUGGCAAUGUGCACGCAGAUUAUCGUGUAUGAAGAUGUACAGUCAUACCUCUGAUUGUAUCUUGCAGCCAUUCAUUUAUUGGAGACAAGAAAUCCUAUGCAAUUCAUUUACGCCUUGUAUUUUUGUUCAUUCAUUGUCAUAGGAUUUGGUGGGAGUGUAAAUGACAUGUUUACGUUCUUUAUGCUCAGUUAUUCACUCAUUUAUUUUGAAGAAUGUAGUCCUGCCACCGGAUGUUGGCAUGCUCUUAUUUUGGCGGAACGUUUUUUCUUUUCCUGUGUCAAAAGGUUAACUUCGCUAAUGGUGAUUACAACCCCACGCAAAAAGUGCUCACAUAUUUUCUCAGUUUCAACCUGGCUGGUGGUAGGCUAAUGUGGAAGACUACCUCGUGUUUAAGCUAGCGCCCUUGGAAGGCGAAAUGAGUUUUCACGGUGCUUAUGGUGCUUAUGGUGCUUAUGGUGCUCAAGGUGCAAGAACUGAGCCGGAAGAAUAAAGGCACCCGUUUGAAACUCCACGUCUGACUAAUUCAUUCCAAGAGGCCGCUACACUAAUAAGUGCUGGUAGCUUAGGCCUAAAAUACAGUAAGAGUGGGCGGAAUUGGUGUGUCAACACCCUCCCCCUAUUGGUUCGUUACACUAAGCCUGGGCGGAGUAGUGGUAUAAUCCUAUCCUGUUAUUAACACCUCCGAUAAAAGGGGAAGUGUCGCUCCCUGAAUAGGGUAUGAACGACUCUGAUCCUGGCUAGUUAGCAUCUAUUGUUCUGGCUCGGCCCUGGCUUCACCUCAUUUGCAAGACUAAGAGCUGUGGGUUUUGGUCUCAGUAACCUGCUGAACACAGGGUCCAAAUUAAACCUCAAACCACCAUUCCGAUUCAAUGAUGGGUUCUGUUGUUUAACAAAAAUGGCUUCCUUUACUCCUCUUUCAAACCAUCUGUUUUCUUUGGCCAAAAUCUUUACCUCGCUGUCCUGAAAAGAGUGAUUGGUAGCUUUCAGGUGUAGAUGUACUGCUGAUUGAGGACCACUAGAAUUGUCCCUGCGAUGUUGAUAAAGCCUUUUUUGGAGCAUUUGCUUAGUUUCCCCAAUGUAGUGCUCUUUGCAUUCCUCAUCUUUACAGUGGAUGGAAUAGACCACAUUGCUUUGUUUCUGGUUUGGAGCCUUGUCUUUAGGAUGCACUAAUUUUUGUCUCAAGGUAUUUACUGGUUUGAAAUAGGUAGGAAUUUUGUGUUGCCAUAAGAUCCUCUGGAGUUUUUCGGAGACCCCCGCUACAUAAGGGACUACCACUCCUCUCCUUUUUACUUCUGUGGGCUUUUGGGUUUCUUUCCCUACUCUCUUCUUUUGACAUUUGUUAAAAGCCCACCAUGGGUACCCACAGGUUGAGAGCGCUCUCUGGACAUGUUGUGUCUCCUUUUUCCUUCCCUCAGCACUAGUUGGUAUUUGUUCCGCUCUAUGUUGGAGGGUCCUAAUAACCCCUAGUUUAUGUUGUAGUGGAUGGUUUGAUUCAAAAAGCAGGUAUUGGUCAGUGUGUGUGGCCUUUCUAAAGACCUCUGUAAGUAGCUGUCUGUCCUUUCCUAUAAUUACCUUGCAGUCUAAGAAGGCUAGUUGGUUCUCUUUAGAGUCCUCGCGAGUAAAUUUGAUAUUGGUGUCCACCGCAUUGAUGUGAUCUGUGAAAGACUGAAUUUCUUGUUUUUUGAUUAUGACAAAGGUGUCAUCCACGUAUCUAAACCAGUGCCUUGGUUUUGUCCCUGAGAAGGAUGUGAGAGCCUGUUUCUCCAUCUCUUCCAUGUACAGAUUCGCCACUAUGGGUGAGACUGGUGAGCCCAUAGCACAACCAUGAAUUUGUCUGGAGAAUUUCCCUCUAAACUGAAAAUAUGUGGUGUUAAGGCAAAUUUCCAGUAAUUGGCAGAUGUGGUCAGCACUAAGUUUUGUUCUCCGAUGCAGAGUUGAGUCCUCGAGCAGUCUCUUCCUCACCACCGAGACUGCUGCUGAGGUGGGGACAGAUGUGAAAAGUGAAGUCACAUCAUAAGACACCAAAGUUUCCUCUGGCUCCAAUCUGAGGUCUUUGAUGCUCGCCACAAACCCUUUUGUGUUCUCUAUAUGAUGAUCAGUGUUGCCUACCAAUGGGGAUAAGACUGUUUUUACAUAUUUCGCUACAUUGUACGUGGUAGAGUCAAUGCUACAGACAAUGGGUCUGAGGGGAAACCCUUCCUUGUGGAUUUUUGGAAGGCCAUAGAUACAUGGUGUAGCCUCCCCAGGGUAUAACCUAUGAUACAUCUGUCUGUCAAUAAGUUCUUCCUUCUCUAACUUUUGGAGACAGUGUAUGAUUUCUUUCUUAUACCUACUGGAUGGGUCCCUUUUAAGUUGCUCAUAUGUGUUGGCAUCACUAAUUAGACUUGUUAUUUUUUCUUCAUAGUCCAAUGUGUUGAGAACCACUGUGCAUCUGCCCUUAUCAGCCUUUUCCUCGAUGGACAACUCCUGUACGACUGAGAGCCUACACAGAUGAAGUGAUUUUGGUUAUUAUCAAGGAAACCAUGGAAGUUGCUGGAUAUCAGCUCUUAAAUGAAACUCUUACGAGCUAUAUUUGUUAUCAUCAUAUUUGUCCAAUCAAAUGUACCUUUAGUUGUACCAGCCAUUAAAAUGGAUCCAUAAACUGAAGAAACAAGGGUGGUCUCAUCCUUUUUUCCCAUGAAUGUAUAUUAGCAUGCUAAAUUCACACACCCUUGCUAGCA